GCCCAGGUAGCUCAGUGGUAAAGAAUCUGCUUGCUAUGCAGGAAAUUCGGGUUCAAUCCCUGGGCA
rnacentral:tRNA from 1 species